AGAAGUGUAAAAAACACUUUUAAAAAUUAAAUAUAUCUUAGAGCCUUUUCAAAAAGAGUACAAGACAAGAAACACAUGUAGAAUAGGAAAAUGAGAAUACUGCGGGAAUGCUGCUGGGAGUAACCUGCACAUCCAACUCCAGGGAAUCGGGCUGAAUGAACACAACAAGCAUUCGACCCACCUGUUUCUGGCCGGCUGUCCCUGCAUGAUAUAUGCAUCUCCAUCUACCCAUGUAAUGCUUAUAAUAUUAGAUACUUGCUAAAAAAACUUGAAUUUAUUUACAUACUUUGGGUUGAAUUUAUGAGAUAAAACUAUGGAAACAGAUUAAAUCGCAUAUAAUGAAUUUAAAAACAUCCUAAUGUUUCAAACCCUGUACACCAUUUACGAUUUUAUCAGUUUCUAUAGUUUUAUUUCAUGAAUAACUAUAAACAAACAACUUUGUCAGUGGAAAAUGAUGUGAAAUUAAAAUUUCCUAUGGGAACAUAACCCUUCGCACCUA